AUGCAAGUCGAACGAACUCUGGUAUUGAUUGGUGCUUGCAUCAUGAUUUACAUUUGAGUGAGUGGCGAACUGGUGAGUAACACGUGGGAAACCUGCCCAGAAGCGGGGGAUAACACCUGGAAACAGAUGCUAAUACCGCAUAACAACUUGGACCGCAUGGUCCGAGUUUGAAAGAUGGCUUCGGCUAUCACUUUUGGAUGGUCCCGCGGCGUAUUAGCUAGAUGGUGGGGUAACGGCUCACCAUGGCAAUGAUACGUAGCCGACCUGAGAGGGUAAUCGGCCACAUUGGGACUGAGACACGGCCCAAACUCCUACGGGAGGCAGCAGUAGGGAAUCUUCCACAAUGGACGAAAGUCUGAUGGAGCAACGCCGCGUGAGUGAAGAAGGGUUUCGGCUCGUAAAACUCUGUUGUUAAAGAAGAACAUAUCUGAGAGUAACUGUUCAGGUAUUGACGGUAUUUAACCAGAAAGCCACGGCUAACUACGUGCCAGCAGCCGCGGUAAUACGUAGGUGGCAAGCGUUGUCCGGAUUUAUUGGGCGUAAAGCGAGCGCAGGCGGUUUUUUAAGUCUGAUGUGAAAGCCUUCGGCUCAACCGAAGAAGUGCAUCGGAAACUGGGAAACUUGAGUGCAGAAGAGGACAGUGGAACUCCAUGUGUAGCGGUGAAAUGCGUAGAUAUAUGGAAGAACACCAGUGGCGAAGGCGGCUGUCUGGUCUGUAACUGACGCUGAGGCUCGAAAGUAUGGGUAGCAAACAGGAUUAGAUACCCUGGUAGUCCAUACCGUAAACGAUGAAUGCUAAGUGUUGGAGGGUUUCCGCCCUUCAGUGCUGCAGCUAACGCAUUAAGCAUUCCGCCUGGGGAGUACGGCCGCAAGGCUGAAACUCAAAGGAAUUGACGGGGGCCCGCACAAGCGGUGGAGCAUGUGGUUUAAUUCGAAGCUACGCGAAGAACCUUACCAGGUCUUGACAUACUAUGCAAAUCUAAGAGAUUAGACGUUCCCUUCGGGGACAUGGAUACAGGUGGUGCAUGGUUGUCGUCAGCUCGUGUCGUGAGAUGUUGGGUUAAGUCCCGCAACGAGCGCAACCCUUAUUAUCAGUUGCCAGCAUUAAGUUGGGCACUCUGGUGAGACUGCCGGUGACAAACCGGAGGAAGGUGGGGAUGACGUCAAAUCAUCAUGCCCCUUAUGACCUGGGCUACACACGUGCUACAAUGGAUGGUACAACGAGUUGCGAACUCGCGAGAGUAAGCUAAUCUCUUAAAGCCAUUCUCAGUUCGGAUUGUAGGCUGCAACUCGCCUACAUGAAGUCGGAAUCGCUAGUAAUCGCGGAUCAGCAUGCCGCGGUGAAUACGUUCCCGGGCCUUGUACACACCGCCCGUCACACCAUGAGAGUUUGUAACACCCAAAGUCGGUGGGGUAACCUUUUAGGAACCAGCCGCCUAAG
rnacentral:rRNA from 2 species